UAGGAUAAGAGGACACAAAAAGUCAAUUUU
rnacentral:piRNA from 1 species